UUUGUUUUCAUGUCUUGGGUAACACAGAAGAAAAACAAGAGUUGUACAUGUCAGGGGUUGUGUAGCGGGGACGAUCUGAUAUCGUCGUGUUGGCGUUGUUCCCACAUCAUCAUAAUUAAUGUUCUUCCAGGGUCCACAUUACAAGUAACCAAUCACCUUCUUGUGACGUCAUACUUUUGCGACUUCGCCUUAAAAAAACAAAUGUUCUUCGAGAAACCGCCUUUUGUCCGCUGAUCCAGCAAUUUCAAUUCCUCUCAAGAUACUUUUCUUUAAUAAACGAAAUAGACGAUAUAAUUAGAAGAAGUGUCCUGAAUGACGAAAAAAAAAGAACUGGAAAAGAUACACAACUUUGUGUGCAUGUGUCACAAUGCCAGGAGGACCCAUUCAGUGUUGUGUUAGAAAAAUUGAACUCAUUAACCCUUCAUGGACAUUAUAAAUGUUUAAAUGUGGCCUCAGGUAAAGACAGGAAAAGAGACUAUUACAAAUUCAACUGCAUCAGAGCUGGAAAAAAAAGUCGAAACAGCUACAGAGCAGUGGGCUGUAAGGCCUAUGUUUCAUUUAAAGUACUCAAAUGUUGGAAAGACCACACAGUCAUCGUGCAGCUUACAUAUGAUAAGCAUGAUGGGCAUGAUCCUUCGGACCCAAAAGACGCACAUUUCAACAAUAUUUCCAGUGAUUUGAGGAGGAAGAUUGAGGAACUGCUUUCCCUUGGAACUAAGCCAGCCAUCAUACUAACCGAAUGUCAUAAAUGGGCCAAAGAACAUGGACACAGAGAUCUUCACAACAGAGAGCAUUUUGUCACACCACAUGACAUUGACAGUGUUAGAACCUGCAUGAUGAGGAAGAAGCACUUUAACUGUAGAGACAGUCAAAGUGUACAUACCUUACUUAAUGGAAAACAUCAAGAACAUGUUCUCUUCUAUCAACCAUACACAUCUGAUCAAGAACUAAUGAUUGUUUUGCAGACACCUGUAAUGAAAUCAAACAUGGAGAACUAUGCAAAACAGUUAGUAUUUGUUGACACCACGCAUUGUGUUAACCAGUAUUCAUUUCCCUUAUUCACACUUGUUGUAAGAGAUGAUCAUGGGCGUGGAGUCCCUGUGGCCUAUGCUAUUGUCAGCAACGAAAGUCAGAAAACCCUGGAAAUCGUUCUUGGAAUAGUUUGUGAGCAUUUACCAACUUCCCCGAGAGCAUUUAUGGUUGACAAAGACUUUGCGGAAAUAAAUGCUUUGCAGAAGGUUUUUCCAGAGUCAGCUAUCCUUCUAUGCUGGUGCCAUGUCUUGCAGGCUGCUAAUCGAUGGCUUUCAAAAUCUGAGUCUGGGGUCCAUGGGCUUUCUAACACCCAAAAGAGAAAUGAAAUCAUUUCUUUCUUUUGUAAGCUGAAAGCUUGCACAUCUUGUGGUAUGUUGGAGCAGCGGUUUAUCGGCAGCUGAGAGGAAGAGGUUGGAUAAACUCAUCAGGAAGGCCAGCUCUGUUCUGGGAUGCACCCUGGACCCAGUGCAGGUGGUGGGAGACAGAAGGACUCUGGCCAAAAUAACAUCUCUGAUGGACAGAGUCUCCCACCCCAUGCAUGUAAAUGUUGCUGAACUGCAGAGCUCCUUCAGUGACAGACUGCUGCAUCCUAGAUGCAUGAAGGAGCGUUUCCGCAGGUCCUUCCUCCCUGCAGCUGUCAGACUGUACAAUCAGAACUGCUCCCAACAAUCAUAGAUGUUUACAUCAGCACUGUAACUGCAAUAAGUUAAUCAACCGAUUCGCACUACAACCUGGUUUGCCUCUUAUCUGUAGUUAUUUUUAUUUAAUUUAAUAACUGUACAGUACUCUCUGUAUAUAGUAACCAUUGUCCUUAAUGUAAAUAUGUAAGAAAAAUUGUGUAUGUUUCUGUGCUGUGUCCUGUUUGUUUGUAUAUGUGUCUUUUUGGCUGCUGUUACAACCAAAUUUCCCCUUGUGGGACAAUUAAAGGAUUAUUCUAUUCUAUUGUGUCACCCACAGUGCAGUAGAACUUGUGAGUGGGAUUCUUUCACAGACAGAUGCUGAAACCAAAUAUGCUUAUAGGUUUAGUGUUCCUUCUUAGCCAUUGUAAGGGAAGAAAUAAUUGCUUCUUAAUACAAAAACACAACAUAUUAUUAAUAACUUAAAAUUCUUAAUGUUAGUCAUAAAGUCAUGUCAG
ensembl:lncRNA